UACGUAGGGGGCAAGCGUUGUCCGGAUUUAUUGGGCGUAAAGAGCGUGUAGGCGGCUGGGUAGGUCCGCUGUGAAAACUUGAGGCUCAACCUCAAGAGGUCGGUGGAAACCAUCCAGCUAGAGUCCGGAAGAGGAGAAUGGAAUUCCUGGUGUAGCGGUGAAAUGCGCAGAUAUCAGGAGGAACACCAAUGGCGAAGGCAGCUCGCUGGGACGGUACUGACGCUGAGGCGCGAAAGCGUGGGGAGCAAACAGG
rnacentral:rRNA from 1 species